AUCCAAGCAGUCUUGGAGCCAUAGGUAAGCCGCAGUAUCGAUGAUCUUGAUCAGAACAAGGAUGGCAACAUUGACCAAUCAGAAGCUGAGAAAUUGAUGGAAAGACGGGAAGCCGAGUUUCUACUUUCACUUGCUGAUGAAAAAUGGAGACUCGAACAUAAGUCUGGAAGAGUUCUCGAGAAGCAUCGAUGACUUCCUGACCAUGGAUUCAGAUCCGGGAUUGCAGGAAGAGUACAGUACUGCAGUGGAAGAGGACGCAGAAUGAAGCUAACGAUCAACUUGUUGAUACAAUGAUUUAAAUAAAUCAUCACAGCAAACA
rnacentral:lncRNA from 1 species